CUUUCUUCCAUAGUCCAGUUUACUCUAUGCCAUUUGACUGUUCGGUUCUGUCACACACUAUUUCACUGGCUUAUUUUGAUACAGCCAUCUUAUCAAUCAGUACCUCCCCCACUCUGACAUGUUCUUCUUCUUGUGUUUCUUUGCCCCUUCCUCAGAGAUUGCAAGUUUAUUUGAACACGGCCUUCUUUACCAUUUUGUAUAUCAAUGACUUGUUGUCAAAUACUAUAA